rnacentral:lncRNA from 1 species
AGCCAGAACGAGGGGGGCCUCUUCGAGACCCUACCUAUCGAGGACUUGUUUUUACCCCUGAAAUAUUUGGUACCACAAGGCCUGUUUUCUUAAAGGAAUCUGCCUUCAAACGCGUUCCACAAAAAAACAAGUAGGACCCUAUUGCAAGUGCAAGAUUUAAGGGCAUUAAUGUCAAAUCAUGUCGGGAUGCUCCCAGGCUAUAAAUAGCCGCCUCCCAC